UUAAGCGACUAAGCGUACACGGUGGAUGCCCUGGCAGUCAGAGGCGAUGAAGGACGUGCUAAUCUGCGAUAAGCGUCGGUAAGGUGAUAUGAACCGUUAUAACCGGCGAUUUCCGAAUGGGGAAACCCAGUGUGAUUCGUCACACUAUCAUUAACUGAAUCCAUAGGUUAAUGAGGCGAACCGGGGGAACUGAAACAUCUAAGUACCCCGAGGAAAAGAAAUCAACCGAGAUUCCCCCAGUAGCGGCGAGCGAACGGGGAGCAGCCCAGAGCCUGAAUCAGUGUGUGUGUUAGUGGAAGCGUCUGGAAAGGCGCGCGAUACAGGGUGACAGCCCCGUACACAAAAAUGCACAUGCUGUGAGCUCGAUGAGUAGGGCGGGACACGUGGUAUCCUGUCUGAAUAUGGGGGGACCAUCCUCCAAGGCUAAAUACUCCUGACUGACCGAUAGUGAACCAGUACCGUGAGGGAAAGGCGAAAAGAACCCCGGCGAGGGGAGUGAAAAAGAACCUGAAACCGUGUACGUACAAGCAGUGGGAGCACAGAGCAAUCUGUGUGACUGCGUACCUUUUGUAUAAUGGGUCAGCGACUUAUAUUCUGUAGCAAGGUUAACCGAAUAGGGGAGCCGAAGGGAAACCGAGUCUUAACUGGGCGUUAAGUUGCAGGGUAUAGACCCGAAACCCGGUGAUCUAGCCAUGGGCAGGUUGAAGGUUGGGUAACACUAACUGGAGGACCGAACCGACUAAUGUUGAAAAAUUAGCGGAUGACUUGUGGCUGGGGGUGAAAGGCCAAUCAAACCGGGAGAUAGCUGGUUCUCCCCGAAAGCUAUUUAGGUAGCGCCUCGUGAAUUCAUCUCCGGGGGUAGAGCACUGUUUCGGCAAGGGGGUCAUCCCGACUUACCAACCCGAUGCAAACUGCGAAUACCGGAGAAUGUUAUCACGGGAGACACACGGCGGGUGCUAACGUCCGUCGUGAAGAGGGAAACAACCCAGACCGCCAGCUAAGGUCCCAAAGUCAUGGUUAAGUGGGAAACGAUGUGGGAAGGCCCAGACAGCCAGGAUGUUGGCUUAGAAGCAGCCAUCAUUUAAAGAAAGCGUAAUAGCUCACUGGUCGAGUCGGCCUGCGCGGAAGAUGUAACGGGGCUAAACCAUGCACCGAAGCUGCGGCAGCGACGCUUAUGCGUUGUUGGGUAGGGGAGCGUUCUGUAAGCCUGCGAAGGUGUGCUGUGAGGCAUGCUGGAGGUAUCAGAAGUGCGAAUGCUGACAUAAGUAACGAUAAAGCGGGUGAAAAGCCCGCUCGCCGGAAGACCAAGGGUUCCUGUCCAACGUUAAUCGGGGCAGGGUGAGUCGACCCCUAAGGCGAGGCCGAAAGGCGUAGUCGAUGGGAAACAGGUUAAUAUUCCUGUACUUGGUGUUACUGCGAAGGGGGGACGGAGAAGGCUAUGUUGGCCGGGCGACGGUUGUCCCGGUUUAAGCGUGUAGGCUGGUUUUCCAGGCAAAUCCGGAAAACUAAGGCUGAGGCGUGAUGACGAGGCACUACGGUGCUGAAGCAACAAAUGCCCUGCUUCCAGGAAAAGCCUCUAAGCAUCAGGUAACAUCAAAUCGUACCCCAAACCGACACAGGUGGUCAGGUAGAGAAUACCAAGGCGCUUGAGAGAACUCGGGUGAAGGAACUAGGCAAAAUGGUGCCGUAACUUCGGGAGAAGGCACGCUGAUAUGUAGGUGAAGUCCCUCGCGGAUGGAGCUGAAAUCAGUCGAAGAUACCAGCUGGCUGCAACUGUUUAUUAAAAACACAGCACUGUGCAAACACGAAAGUGGACGUAUACGGUGUGACGCCUGCCCGGUGCCGGAAGGUUAAUUGAUGGGGUCAGCGCAAGCGAAGCUCUUGAUCGAAGCCCCGGUAAACGGCGGCCGUAACUAUAACGGUCCUAAGGUAGCGAAAUUCCUUGUCGGGUAAGUUCCGACCUGCACGAAUGGCGUAAUGAUGGCCAGGCUGUCUCCACCCGAGACUCAGUGAAAUUGAACUCGCUGUGAAGAUGCAGUGUACCCGCGGCAAGACGGAAAGACCCCGUGAACCUUUACUAUAGCUUGACACUGAACAUUGAGCCUUGAUGUGUAGGAUAGGUGGGAGGCUUUGAAGUGUGGACGCCAGUCUGCAUGGAGCCGACCUUGAAAUACCACCCUUUAAUGUUUGAUGUUCUAACGUUGACCCGUGAUCCGGGUUGCGGACAGUGUCUGGUGGGUAGUUUGACUGGGGCGGUCUCCUCCUAAAGAGUAACGGAGGAGCACGAAGGUUGGCUAAUCCUGGUCGGACAUCAGGAGGUUAGUGCAAUGGCAUAAGCCAGCUUGACUGCGAGCGUGACGGCGCGAGCAGGUGCGAAAGCAGGUCAUAGUGAUCCGGUGGUUCUGAAUGGAAGGGCCAUCGCUCAACGGAUAAAAGGUACUCCGGGGAUAACAGGCUGAUACCGCCCAAGAGUUCAUAUCGACGGCGGUGUUUGGCACCUCGAUGUCGGCUCAUCACAUCCUGGGGCUGAAGUAGGUCCCAAGGGUAUGGCUGUUCGCCAUUUAAAGUGGUACGCGAGCUGGGUUUAGAACGUCGUGAGACAGUUCGGUCCCUAUCUGCCGUGGGCGCUGGAGAACUGAGGGGGGCUGCUCCUAGUACGAGAGGACCGGAGUGGACGCAUCACUGGUGUUCGGGUUGUCAUGCCAAUGGCACUGCCCGGUAGCUAAAUGCGGAAGAGAUAAGUGCUGAAAGCAUCUAAGCACGAAACUUGCCCCGAGAUGAGUUCUCCCUGACUCCUUGAGAGUCCUGAAGGAACGUUGAAGACGACGACGUUGAUAGGCCGGGUGUGUAAGCGCAGCGAUGCGUUGAGCUAACCGGUACUAAUGAACCGUGAGGCUUAACCUU
rnacentral:rRNA from 1 species